GGAAGAGUUUGAUCCUGGCUCAGGAUGAACGCUGGCGGCGUGCUUAACACAUGCAAGUCGAACGUGAGAAUAGCAAUAUUUGAAAGUGGCAAACGGGUGAGUAACACGUGGGAACCUGCCUCGAAGUGGGAGAUAACGAUUGGAAACGGUCGCUAAUACCGCACGGUUCUGCUCUGAUGGGAAUGGAGCAGAUAAAGAUUUAUCGCUUUGAGAGGGGCCCGCGGCCGAUUAGCUAGUUGGUAAGGUAAAGGCUUACCAAGGCGAUUAUCGGUAGCUGGUCUGAGAGGACGAUCAGCCACACGGGAACUGAGACACGGUCCCGACUCCUACGGGGGGCAGCAGUGAGGAAUAUUGGGCAAUGGGCGAAAGCCUGACCCAGCAACGCCGCGUGGAGGAUGAAGGCCUUAGGGUUGUAAAGUUCUUUUACCCGUGACGAUGAUGACGGUAACGGGGGAAUAAGCUCCGGCUAACUUCGUGCCAGCAGCCGCGGUAA
rnacentral:rRNA from 1 species